UGGGGAAUUUUGGGACAAUGGGGGAAACCCGAUCGAUCCAGCCCAUCCCGCCGUGUGCGAUGAAGGCCUUCGGGUUGUAAAGCACUUUUGGCAGGAAAGAAACGUCGCGGGUUAAUACCCCGCGAACAUGACGGUACCUGCAGAAUAAGCACCGGCUAACUACGUGCCAGCAGCCGCGGUAAUACGUAGGGUGCAAGCGUUAAUCGGAAUUACUGGGCGUAAAGCGUGCGCAGGCGGUUCGGAAAGAAAGAUGUGAAAUCCCAGAGCUUAACUUUGGAACUGCAUUUUUAACUACCGGGCUAGAGUGUGUCAGAGGGAGGUGGAAUUCCGCGUGUAGCAGUGAAAUGCGUAGAUAUGCGGAGGAACACCGAUGGCGAAGGCA
rnacentral:rRNA from 1 species